UGCUCACUCACUGCCGAUCUGAAGCAUCUCUCAAUCCUCGUAAAAUGUAAGCGAUACUCACAAAGGACAGUUCUUGAAUGGUUGAAUCAGGGGCAUAGAUACUAGGAGUUCUGCUUCCUGAGAGAAUAUUGGUCCGGGCUUUCCUUAAUUAACUUGCAGAAAUUUUCGUGGGCCAUCUCCAACCGUGGGCCCCCAGAAUCAUCAACACCUUUCACCUCACCAGUGAAGAUGCAGGGAAGUCCUAAAGUCAUUUUAUGGCCGCAGAAGCAAACAGCGAAGAAUGUUUAGCUGACAGACAGAUCUACAGUUUCAGAGGCUGAGGACUUAGCGCUGCGGGACAAAUUUCAUGGUCUGGAUUGUCACCGCAUCGGGGUUGAGACAAGGGCCAUUCCAAUACCUCACCUACCCACCUCAAGAUCCUCAGUCAGGUGACAGGAGGUAAGAAAACACCCCUGGUCCUUCCCAGAUAUACCACGAAUGACUUCUCCAACAGGAGCCCGUAUUGGUUUAUUACUCCAUGCACUGUCAGUGCUGUUCCUCUAACCAAGACUGGGGUCAGCACCUGUGGAUAUCACACCAUGCGGCUGUAGAAGGAUGUCAAAACGUGCCAAUCCCCCAUCCAGGCUUAGCAAUUUUAGGAAUUUCUAGGGUGUUAUUGUUGCAUUAGAGGUCCUUAGCCCAUUACUGCUGACAGCUAAACCACCCAGGUGCUUGUAUUGUCUUUAUUGUUGGAAUUAUUCACUCAAACAGUGACGAAAACAUUGAGGUGAGAGCGAAUUUUUAACCGUUGCAUUAUUGUUUGCAAAGUUGCCUUUUUCAUCAAAGUAAAUCACACAUCCUUGU